AAACUGGCCGAUAUAAUUUGUUAGAUUGCAUUCCUAAUAAUUGCACAAUAUGUUUGGUCAGAGUUAAAGAAGCAUCAGUGUCUAGUUUGUCCAUGCCUGAGGCAUAUGGCAUUUGGAAAAUGAAAAUAGUAGAUGUGCAGAUCAAUACUUUUGUUGUGAUAUUUGUGUGGUUGCCAUGGUUUCUGUUGCUUGGAAUCGUAUCCUCUGCCGGCACUGACCCUCCUUGCGAGGACUUUGAUACCUCCGGUUGCCUUAGUAACCCAGGCCUCUGUUCGAUACCCGAUCUGUCAAUUUCAACGUGUCCUAAGUCUUGUAACAAAUGUCCUUUUUACUGUUACCACUGCGAUCACCCGGUCAGCGCUGUUUCAAGAUGUACAAAUGUAACCGCUUGUCAAGGCGAUAAGCAAUGCCUUUAUAUGCACGUUACAUCCAGUAUUGAUGGCCAUGAAGAAUUCACUCUCAAAUGCGUGGAACCAACAGUCUGUAAUACAAAGAGGAUGCUACAAACACGAAAUGUUCAGAUGCACUGCUGUACUGGAAACUACUGCAACAAAAUGCAAACUCCCACCACCCGUGCAACGUCCACUACCACCACUGUGUUGACUACCACCACCCGAACCACGUCCACUACCACCACUUUGUUGACUACCACAGCACAAGAUUGCAACAAGGAUAUCAUAUUUAUAGCGGAGGAAUCUCAGAACAUUGGUAAUGUUUGACCGGCUAAACAGUUCGUGCAUGACGUCAUCUCCGGCCUAGAAAUUGGCGUUUACAACGCUAUGACUGCUCUACUUCUGAAUAAACCAGAUACAAUUAUAUGGGAUUUAGACGGGCACUAUACGAAAACAGAAAUGAUCAAUCAUCUCCAAAUCAUUCAAAAAGAGGUCUGGCCGCCAAAUCCCGAUCCAUUGGUUGGGUUAACAACCUAUAUACGUCACGCCAACGAUGUCUCAUUUGGAAACAGACACGAUAAAGCCGAUGUAGUCAUUCUGUUAACAACCGGCAAUACGGCGGACCAUAGUGGCUUUUGGUUGGCGAGCAUGUCAAAGGGAUAUAUACUAGACAAAUUACAUGGAUUGAGCAACAACGUCAUCGUAUUUGGAAUCGGACAUCGCGUUCAAAGAAGCAACUUACGUGAAAUAGCAACUGACGACGAGCAUUUGUUCCUCCUGAAUAACGUCUACGAGCUCCCCUCAUACGCUGAACGCGCCAAGAGACAUAUCUGCGUAUAGAACACUUUGGUAGUCGAUUGUAUUGCAAUUUUGAUUGUUCUGAUGGUACUUCCUUUGCAUGUUAAAUGUGCUUCGACGCUGAAGAUUGUAGAAAGUAUGUAACAAACAAAUACCGUAACAAUAAAUAUGUGUAAUUGUA